UACGUAGGGUGCGAGCGUUGCCCGGAUUUAUUGGGCGUAAAGAGCGCGCAGGCGGCUGGUCAAGUCCGAUGUGAAAUCUCCCGGCUUAACUGGGAAACUGCAUCGGAAACUGAUCGGCUUGAAGGUGGGAGAGGGUAGUGGAAUUCCCGGUGUAGUGGUGAAAUGCGUAGAUAUCGGGAGGAACACCAGUGGCGAAGGCGACUACCUGGCCCAUUCUUGACGCUGAGGCGCGAAAGCUAGGGGAGCGAACGGG
rnacentral:rRNA from 1 species